rnacentral:piRNA from 1 species
UAAGGUUCUCCGCGAUAACAUCCAGG